UUGUUUAUAAAUGCUAUAUGAUUAACAGUUAGCUACAAUCUUUCUGUGUUUGGCCUUACGAAUUUAUUAGAUGUAUUAAGAUCAAACCAAACCAUAUUACAGCAACACCGUUAUGACGAGAUUGACGAGCAUUCUUGUGAUCAUUGCGCUAACAUUGGUGUUAUGGGCGAUGAAAAGCCAAGAACAGAAACUACCCCAGGGCAUGACGACCCCCGAGAACUCUUACAUGCCAAUACGCUACAACGACGUGACAUGCGUACAUAAAGAUUGCCUUAAGGCGUGCUGGGAUAGAAUGAGACGCAAUACGGGGUACUGCUACGACGCGGACUUGUGCGUGUGUUAUGACAAGUAAACGUAUUUUUUUUU